GGCAGGCUUAACACAUGCAAGUCGAACGAACUCUUCGGAGUUAGUGGCAGACGGGUGAGUAACGCGUGGGAAUAUACCUUUCGGUACGGAACAACAGUUGGAAACGACUGCUAAUACCGUAUGCGCCCUAUGGGGGAAAGAUUUAUCGCCGAAGGAUUAGCCCGCGUUGGAUUAGCUAGUUGGUGGGGUAAAGGCCUACCAAGGCGACGAUCCAUAGCUGGUCUGAGAGGAUGAUCAGCCACACUGGGACUGAGACACGGCCCAGACUCCUACGGGAGGCAGCAGUGGGGAAUAUUGGACAAUGGGGGCAACCCUGAUCCAGCCAUGCCGCGUGAGUGAUGAAGGCCCUAGGGUUGUAAAGCUCUUUCAGCGAGGAGGAUAAUGACGUUACUCGCAGAAGAAGCCCCGGCUAACUUCGUGCCAGCAGCCGCGGUAAUACGAAGGGGGCUAGCGUUGUUCGGAAUCACUGGGCGUAAAGCGCACGUAGGCGGAUUGGUCAGUUAGGGGUGAAAUCCCAGAGCUCAACUCUGGAACUGCCUUUAAUACUGCCAGUCUUGAGUCCGAGAGAGGUGAGUGGAACUCCGAGUGUAGAGGUGAAAUUCGUAGAUAUUCGGAAGAACACCAGUGGCGAAGGCGGCUCACUGGCUCGGUACUGACGCUGAGGUGCGAA
rnacentral:rRNA from 1 species